rnacentral:rRNA from 1 species
UUAAGUUAGAAAGGGCGCACGGUGGAUGCCUUGACACUAGGAGUCGAUGAAGGACGGGACUAACGCCGAUAUGCUUCGGGGAGCUGUAAGUAAGCUUUGAUCCGAAGAUUUCCGAAUGGGGAAACCCACCAUACGUAAUGGUAUGGUAUCCUUAUCUGAAUACAUAGGGUAAGGAAGACAGACCCAGGGAACUGAAACAUCUAAGUACCUGGAGGAAGAGAAAGCAAAUGCGAUUUCCUGAGUAGCGGCGAGCGAAACGGAACAUAGCCCAAACCAAGAGGCUUGCCUCUUGGGGUUGUAGGACAUUCUAUACGGAGUUACAAAGGAACGAGGUAGACGAAGCGACCUGGAAAGGUCCGUCGUAGAGGGUAACAACCCCGUAGUCGAAACUUCGUUCUCUCUUGAAUGUAUCCUGAGUACGGCGGAACACGUGAAAUUCCGUCGGAAUCUGGGAGGACCAUCUCCCAAGGCUAAAUACUCCCUAGUGAUCGAUAGUGAACCAGUACCGUGAGGGAAAGGUGAAAAGCACCCCGGAAGGGGAGUGAAAGAGAUCCUGAAACCGUGUGCCUACAAAUAGUCAGAGCCCGUUAACGGGUGAUGGCGUGCCUUUUGUAGAAUGAACCGGCGAGUUACGAUCCCGUGCGAGGUUAAGCUGAAGAGGCGGAGCCGCAGCGAAAGCGAGUCUGAAUAGGGCGUUUAGUACGUGGUCGUAGACCCGAAACCAGGUGAUCUACCCAUGUCCAGGGUGAAGUUCAGGUAACACUGAAUGGAGGCCCGAACCCACGCACGUUGAAAAGUGCGGGGAUGAGGUGUGGGUAGCGGAGAAAUUCCAAUCGAACCUGGAGAUAGCUGGUUCUCCCCGAAAUAGCUUUAGGGCUAGCCUUAAGUGUAAGAGUCUUGGAGGUAGAGCACUGAUUGGACUAGGGGUCCUCAUCGGAUUACCGAAUUCAGUCAAACUCCGAAUGCCAAUGACUUAUCCUUAGGAGUCAGACUGCGAGUGAUAAGAUCCGUAGUCAAAAGGGAAACAGCCCAGACCGCCAGCUAAGGUCCCAAAGUGUGUAUUAAGUGGAAAAGGAUGUGGAGUUGCUUAGACAACUAGGAUGUUGGCUUAGAAGCAGCCACCAUUUAAAGAGUGCGUAAUAGCUCACUAGUCGAGUGACUCUGCGCCGAAAAUGUACCGGGGCUAAAUACACCACCGAAGCUGCGGAUUGAUACCAAUGGUAUCAGUGGUAGGGGAGCGUUCUAAGGACAGUGAAGUCAGACCGGAAGGACUGGUGGAGUGCUUAGAAGUGAGAAUGCCGGUAUGAGUAGCGAAAGACGGGUGAGAAUCCCGUCCACCGAAUGCCUAAGGUUUCCUGAGGAAGGCUCGUCCGCUCAGGGUUAGUCAGGACCUAAGCCGAGGCCGACAGGCGUAGGCGAUGGACAACAGGUUGAUAUUCCUGUACCACCUCUUUAUCGUUUGAGCAAUGGAGGGACGCAGAAGGAUAGAAGAAGCGUGCGAUUGGUUGUGCACGUCCAAGCAGUUAGGCUGAUAAGUAGGCAAAUCCGCUUAUCGUGAAGGCUGAGCUGUGAUGGGGAAGCUCCUUAUGGAGCGAAGUCUUUGAUUCCCCGCUGCCAAGAAAAGCUUCUAGCGAGAUAAAAGGUGCCUGUACCGCAAACCGACACAGGUAGGCGAGGAGAGAAUCCUAAGGUGUGCGAGAGAACUCUGGUUAAGGAACUCGGCAAAAUGACCCCGUAACUUCGGGAGAAGGGGUGCUUUCUUAACGGAAAGCCGCAGUGAAUAGGCCCAAGCGACUGUUUAGCAAAAACACAGCUCUCUGCGAAGCCGUAAGGCGAAGUAUAGGGGGUGACACCUGCCCGGUGCUGGAAGGUUAAGGAGAGGGGUUAGCGUAAGCGAAGCUCUGAACUGAAGCCCCAGUAAACGGCGGCCGUAACUAUAACGGUCCUAAGGUAGCGAAAUUCCUUGUCGGGUAAGUUCCGACCCGCACGAAAGGUGUAACGAUUUGGGCACUGUCUCAACCAGAGACUCGGUGAAAUUAUAGUACCUGUGAAGAUGCAGGUUACCCGCGACAGGACGGAAAGACCCCGUGGAGCUUUACUGUAGCCUGAUAUUGAAUUUUGGUACAGUUUGUACAGGAUAGGCGGGAGCCUUUGAAACCGGAGCGCUAGCUUCGGUGGAGGCGCUGGUGGGAUACCGCCCUGACUGUAUUGAAAUUCUAACCUACGGGUCUUGAUCGACCCGGGAGACAGUGUCAGGUGGGCAGUUUGACUGGGGCGGUCGCCUCCUAAAGUGUAACGGAGGCGCCCAAAGGUUCCCUCAGAAUGGUUGGAAAUCAUUCGUAGAGUGCAAAGGCAUAAGGGAGCUUGACUGCGAGACCUACAAGUCGAGCAGGGACGAAAGUCGGGCUUAGUGAUCCGGUGGUUCCGCAUGGAAGGGCCAUCGCUCAACGGAUAAAAGCUACCCCGGGGAUAACAGGCUUAUCUCCCCCAAGAGUCCACAUCGACGGGGAGGUUUGGCACCUCGAUGUCGGCUCAUCGCAUCCUGGGGCUGUAGUCGGUCCCAAGGGUUGGGCUGUUCGCCCAUUAAAGCGGUACGCGAGCUGGGUUCAGAACGUCGUGAGACAGUUCGGUCCCUAUCCGUCGUGGGCGUAGGAAAUUUGAGAGGAGCUGUCCUUAGUACGAGAGGACCGGGAUGGACGCACCGCUGGUGUACCAGUUGUUCUGCCAAGGGCAUAGCUGGGUAGCUAUGUGCGGAAGGGAUAAGUGCUGAAAGCAUCUAAGCAUGAAGCCCCCCUCAAGAUGAGAUUUCCCAUAGCGUAAGCUAGUAAGAUCCCUGAAAGAUGAUCAGGUUGAUAGGUUCGAGGUGGAAGCAUGGUGACAUGUGGAGCUGACGAAUACUAAUAGAUCGAGGACUUAACCAU